GCAUAUCAAUAAGCGGAGGAAAAGAAACUAACAAGGAUUCCCCUAGUAACGGCGAGUGAAGAGGGAAGAGCUCAAAUUUGAAAGCUGGUACCUCCGGUAUCCGCGUUGUAACCUCGAGACGCGUUUUCCGUGCGGCGCUAUGGACAAGUUCCUUGGAACAGGACAUCGUAGAGGGUGAAAAUCCCGUACUUGCCAUGGAUGUACCGUGCUUUGCGAUACGUGCUCUAAGAGUCGAGUUGUUUGGGAUUGCAGCUCAAAAUGGGUGGUAGACUCCAUCUAAAGCUAAAUAUCGGGGAGAGACCGAUAGCGAACAAGUACCGUGAGGGAAAGAUGAAAAGCACUUUGGAAAGAGAGUUAAAAGUACGUGAAAUUGUCGAAAGGGAAGCGCUUGAAGUCAGCCAUGCCGCUCAGGACUCAGCCUGGCUUUUGCUUGGUGUAUUUCCUGGGUAGCAAGUCAGCAUUGGUUUGGAUCGUCGGAGAAGCAUAGUCGGAAUGUGGCGCCCUCGGGCGUGUUAUAGCCUUCUAUUGGAUACGACGAUCUAGACCAAGGAACGCAGCGCGCCUUAUGGCGGGUCUUCGGACACCUUCGCGCUUAGGAUGCUGGCGUAAUGGCUUUAAGUGGCCCGUCUUGAAACACGGACC
rnacentral:rRNA from 1 species